UAUCUCUGUAGAGUCUGCAUAUCAAUAAGCGGAGGAAAAGAAACUAACUAGGAUUCCCUCAGUAACGGCGAGUGAAGCGGGAAGAGCUCAAAUUUGAAAUCUUCAAGGUUCUACCUUGACGAAUUGUAGUUUAAAGAAGUGUUUUCUGUUGAAGUUUUGGUAAAAGUUCUUUGGAAUAGGACAUCAUAGAGGGUGAGAAUCCCGUAUUUGACCAUUAUUGCCAGCUUUGUGAUACACUUUCAAAGAGUCGGAUUGUUUGGGAAUGCAGUCCAAAAUGGGUGGUAAAUUUCAUCUAAAGCUAAAUACUGGCGAGAGACCGAUAGCGAACAAGUACCGUGAGGGAAAGAUGAAAAGAACUUUGAAAAGAGAGUUAAACAGUACGUGAAAUUGUCAAAAGGGAAGCGUUUGACACCAGUGUUGUUUUUCUCGAAAAUCAAUUAAAAAAAGUUGGAUUUUGUAUUGUUAAGACCUUAUCAGCUUACUGUACUCUUUUCUUGCUUUUUUUAAUGCACUUUUCGUUUAACAAGUCAACAUCAAUUUCUUUUGUUGUAAAAGAGUCAUUGGAAGGUGGCUUUCACUUCGGUGAAAGUGUUUAUAGCCUUUGGCUUCUGCAAUCGGAGAGAUUGAGGUCUGCAGCGUAGAUCCUUCGGGGCUAGAUACGUAGAUGCUAAGUUAUAGUUUUUUAUAGACAACUUGUUGACUAUAAUUAAUCAUGUAGCUUACUCGUUUGCGCUAUUUUACCUACGCUUAGGAUGUU
rnacentral:rRNA from 1 species